rnacentral:sRNA from 12 species
GCUUUCAACAUCCCCGUUCCGGGCGCUCAAGCGCGCCGGGACUGAAGGC